rnacentral:sRNA from 1 species
GGAGGAUUCCAGAAGGAAAUUGCUUCAGCUGCAAGAAAUGGGGAACAGAGAGAGCCUCAUUAAAAUCAAUUUGGAGAGGGCAGUAGGUCAGGUAGGCGUGUUCCAGAGCCCCCCUCAUUGGCCCACGCUCUCCAAUGAUUGCACCCAAGCAGCCAGUGGGGGUGAGAGAGGAGGACGCCCAAGGUAGAAAGACAGACGUGCGUUAAUUCUCCCAUUUAUCUCAUGAGCAGAGGCUGUCUGCAGCUCCCCACCCCCAUGGACAUCGCUAAACAGGUUUCUGCUGCUGGGAGGCCUCCCACUCGAAUAGUUUAUGAUGACCCGAGACCCGGACCAGGCAGCCAAUCCCGGCUCGAUGCCUGCCCCCAGUUAACCGAGCUCCUUGCCCCCAGUGGUGUUUCUAGCAUUUUCUCCCUAAUGUUUUCAGUCCUGACAUUUACCACAAUCUUUCUUCCCCUUGGGCCCCAGCAGACAUUACAGACAGUGUCUAUAAGGAAAUGCCACUUUUCUUAAUAAGGUAAAACCCUGGAGUGUCCAAAGUGCAUGCUGGAUGGAGAAGCUCCCGGCUGUGGGUGAGCCACUCCGACCUGGUCUGGAGGUGCUGUUUCUUUGAUGCUGUGGCCUGAAAUCGCCGGUGGCCCUUCCUGGCAAAUGUGACACAGUCGUGGGGGCCGGAAUGUGCAGACGAAAGUUUACCAAAAGCUAAGGGAAAGCAAACAGGAAACCAAGAUGGGAGGGCAUAUGACCCUCAGGAAUGUGGUCCCCCAGGGGCAGCCCACCCUAGAUUCCUCCACAGGGGUCCCUCUCCUGGAAACCAUGACUCCAGGGGAUCCACAGAAUGGUUUGCGCGCACACAUGUGUGUGUGUGUGUGUGUGUGUGUAUUACUGGGAAGGAGGGCCCCCCAUGUCUCCCACUGGGUUCUCAGGAGGGUCUGUGAACUACCAAGAAAGGCUAAAAGCCAGGAUCUCUCAAACCACCCAGCUCAGCUCCCAAAGCCCUUCCAUUUUCUACCAUCCAAGCCUUACCGGGCAGUGUGACCAGGCCUUUGUCCCUGUACCCUAAAAUUCAAAUAUUCACCACUGUAACCGCCAGCACCAUUUCUCCUGUGGGGGCGCCAGCCCCUUAUCAAGGGCAGAGAACCUGCCCGUCUGGGCCUCUCCCUGUGCACAUUGGCUACCCCCAAUCUUCCCCCUAACACAUACCUGAUUUGAGGGUCUGACCCAUGCUCCUUGCCCAAGGGCCAAGGUUCUUGUUAUAGCUCUGGGCAGAGGUCAUCCGGGAGGAGCCCUGGAGGUCCUGAGACUGCUCCAGGUCUAGACUUGAGAGAAAGGACAAGCCCUCUCUCUGCCUCCCAGUGCCUUCCCUCUCCUGUAUCUCCAAGGCCCUGCUCCCUGUCCAAUAGUCUGCCCUUCCCCAGCCAAGUGACCCCAGGCCCGAGGCCAUGUCUAAGAUGACCUCUCCCUCCCAAUGGCCCUGGGCAGCCAUUCCUGUGGGGAGCCCCUGAUGGCAAUGGGGGACCAUCAUUCACAGGGCUUCCUCUACACAGUCAAUUCUUUGGGUGAGCUGGGACCCUCCGCUUGGCCAUGAAACCAGAGGAUGGCUUUGAGAACCUCAUGUCACCUGGUCUUCUCCUGGCAGGGUCUCUGCAGAGAUGUCCGUUAAGACGUUUCCCAUUAGAACUCCCCUGUGCAGUAAAUACCUGUGUCUUGGGCCCCAGGUUGAGGCAGUAGCCCUUUUGGUCCCUUCAAGGCUCUGCUUUGGAGCCUUUAAUAACCACGUUUUGCCAGUGAACCGGAGACUCACGCCAGGGGCUGCCAUGUUGGUAAAUUCUCAGAGAAAGUCGGGCUCCUUUUUACCUCUAACUACUAAUGGAAUCAGGACACCUUGGACUUGUCAUUCUGUAAGUCCGGACUUAAUGUAACUGCUAUUUCAUCAGCCUUAACCUGAAAACACUAGCACCCAGGAGGGGCUCAGUGAAAGCUGCUAGAAGUAGAGGCCCUUGGCUUAAGGUGAUGUUUCUGUGUACAGGCAUCCAGCAAAGGUUAGUUGGGUGUCUGAGUGUCUCCUCUACACCAGGCACUGUAGUAGGCUCCAGGGAUACUGAGAUGAACAGAGUGGGCAUAGUCUUCAGGACUCUUAUGGGCUCAGGCAUGAAAUGGAGAAAGGGAGAACACCCUCCUCUCCCCGGGCUUCCUUGCUGACUACACAAUUUACUUGGACUGACAGCCUCAAUAUUUAUUUCACAGUCUGGUGCCAACUUAGCAAUUACGGAAGAGCGCUCCCGGCCCCAGACUUCCCAUUGGAUAAUUGGCAGCAAGAGGCUCUUCUGAGGGUUUGAGACAUGUGUGUGCACUGACCACAGGCAUCGUUCGGGUUAGGCAGGCGUGCCUAAAAAGUAAUUAAAGCCUGCUGUUCUCUUUUCUUCUGUGGGUCCCGCCACUCCCCGUGAGCGGUGAAGAUUCUGAUAACGCGGAAUGGUCAUUCAGGCGUGCAAACCCUGCUAAGUGGUGUUUCCCGCACCCUGCCAUGGAAACGCUGCCCCCGCUUGCCGGCCCCUGCUGACCCCCUGACACUGUUGCCCCCUCUCUGCUGCAGCUGGAGCACUUCAGAAGUCAAGUCAUCAAGGCCACCUAUGGACGGGUGAAGCCGUUCCGGGACAAGCCCGUCACCGACCAACAGUUAAUAGAGAAAAUUACCCAGGUCACUGAGGACAACAUCAAUUUUCAGCAGAAAAAGUGGACCCUCCAGAAAGAGACCCAGCUGAGCAACUCCAAGCAGGAGGAGACCACCGAGAACAUCGAGAAGCUGAGGACGUCGCUGGACAGCUGCCAGGUGGCCCCUCCUUACGCUUUCCACAAAUGGUCUCUUUGUCUAAUUUUUGUGCGGCUUAUUUGGGAAAUUGCCCAGCUUUUUUGGAGCAAGUUGGGCAGAAAUGCUUGGCUUUUCUAUCCACUUUUUCCUCUUGUUGGAGAAACUUGUUGGAGAAGAAAAAACAAAGGGCCUCAAAAAAUGCCUCCCGGGAGAACUUGGCGUGUCCAGAAAAGAUGCCUGAGCAUCUUCAAUUACUGACUUUGAGCGGCCCGCAUCCCCAGCCAAAAAGAAAUUGUUUUCAUAGCCCCUAUGUUAUUUCCAGAGAAACCAAAGAAACAUUCCUGCUUUUUAUUUGCAUUUUCUUUUUUUGGCCCAGCCACAAAAGGCGGUUUCCACACCGUUGCCUUUGACUCUGGAGGAGCAGGGACGGGAGGACUUGGCCACAGCCCUGCGGCCCCCACCCUGGGACAUGGCUUAUCAGAGCAGGCGGUGGCUUCUGCUUUCUCUGGAAAUCAGCAGCUCCUGUUUGGGGAGUUUGUGCAAAUGCUGGCUUGUCAGCACUCUUUCAAAUCAGGAAACCACGCUUUCCGACCAGCUUGUGUGUUGAUCUUGGCAGGAAUUCUGACGAAUGGAAAAAAGAAGUAGCCACAUUUGCUUCUCAUUGCAGCCAAACUGUCGAUGGUACUUUGGCUCUGGGGUUUCAUAGACCUAAAAGGGGGUUCGCUUUGACCAUCAAAAGUCCAAAUUAGAGUAUUAAAAAAAAACCUGUCAAAACAUAAAAAUUUUUAAAAAGAAAAAAACUGAGUCCUCCCAAGGCGGCCAAUACGUGGCGCUGCCUGCUUCGUGGCAGAGUCGAGAACGCUGUUCCUCGAAGGUCACGUCAGGGGCUAUUUCUGGCCACAGGGCCUGGGCUCCUCAUGAUCUCACCUCUUUGCAGGCUUGCAUGAAAAUAUCCUGUUGCAGCCAUGACCUGAAGAAGGAGGUCGACCUUCUUCAGCACCUCCAGGUGAGCCCACCUGUCUCGGGGCUCCAGAAGGUGGUGCUGGAUGUCCUGAGGCACGCGCUGUCCUGGCUGGAGGAGGUGGAGCAGCUCCUCCGGGACCUCGGGAUCCUGCCCUCCAGCCCCAACAAAGGUUACUGGGACUUUUUUUCUCACAUGGUUGCAUGACUCUAAAAUGUCGCGUUGAAUCUCAGCAUGAUGGGACAUCUGUUGAGGAAGUCUUCCUGGGUAUCUGGCCAAGUCUAUUCCCUUCUCUAGAACCCCCUGCUUCUCUGCUUGAGGCGUAAUUUUCCAUUAAAAAAAAAAAACACACACAUACAAGUGAGACACGAUAACUGAAGAAAAAUGAAACAAAACAGAGGCAAAAGGAAAAUUAAAUCGAGAUUAUGCAAAGUCUAAUUACGCUGUUUAACUUCCAAGGCAUUUUCCCAUGGAAAUAACCGCGUGAUUCCAGGCAAGUCACUUACCCUGUCUAUGCCUCAGUUUCCCUAUCUGUAAAAUGAGGCUAAUAGGGAGUACCCACCCUUUAGGGCUGUUGUGAUCAUUAAAAUGCAUGAAUAUAUGGAAAGUACUUGGAAUAGUACCUGGCACACAAUAGGAA